rnacentral:rRNA from 1 species
CCUACGGGUGGCAGCAGUGAGGAAUAUUGGUCAAUGGACGAGAGUCUGAACCAGCCAAGUAGCGUGAAGGAUGACUGCCCUAUGGGUUGUAAACUUCUUUUAUAAAGGAAUAAAACGAGGCACGUGUGCCUUUUUGCAUGUACUUUAUGAAUAAGGAUCGGCGAACUCCGUGCUAGCAGCCGCGGUAAUACGGAGGAUCCGAGCGUUAUCCGGAUUUAUUGGGUUUAAAGGGAGCGUAGAUGGGUUGUUAUGUCAGUUGUGAAAGUUUGAGGCUCAACCGUAAAAUUGCAAUUGAUACUGGCAGUCUUGAGUACAGUUGAGGUAGGCGGAAUUCGUGGUGUAGCGGUGAAAGGCUUAGAUAUCACGAAGAACCCCGAUUGCGAAGGCAGCUUACUAAACUGUGACUGACAUUGAUGCUCGAAAGUGUGGGUAUCAAACAGGAUUAGAUACCCCAGUAGUC